rnacentral:rRNA from 1 species
GAGUUUGAUCCUGGCUCAGAUUGAACGCUGGCGGCAUGCCUUACACAUGCAAGUCGAACGGUCAGCAUGAUCUAGCUUGCUAGAUUGAUGGCGAGUGGCGAACGGGUGAGUAAUACAUCGGAACGUGCCCUGUAGUGGGGAUAACUAGUCGAAAGAUUAGCUAAUACCGCAUACGACCUGAGGGUGAAAGUGGGGGACCGCAAGGCCUCAUGCUAUAGGAGCGGCCGAUGUCUGAUUAGCUAGUUGGUGGGGUAAAGGCCCACCAAGGCGACGAUCAGUAGC